rnacentral:rRNA from 1 species
ACUCGUUGGUGACCAGCGGAGGGAUCAUUACCGAGUUUACAACUCCCAAACCCAAUGUGAACGUUACCAAACUGUUGCCUCGGCGGGAUCUCUGCCCCGGGUGCGUCGCAGCCCCGGACCAAGGCGCCCGCCGGAGGACCAACCAAAACUCUUAUUGUAUACCCCCUCGCGGGUUUUUUUAUAAUCUGAGCCUUCUCGGCGCCUCUCGUAGGCGUUUCGAAAAUGAAUCAAAACUUUCAACAACGGAUCUCUUGGUUCUGGCAUCGAUGAAGAACGCAGCGAAAUGCGAUAAGUAAUGUGAAUUGCAGAAUUCAGUGAAUCAUCGAAUCUUUGAACGCACAUUGCGCCCGCCAGUAUUCUGGCGGGCAUGCCUGUCCGAGCGUCAUUUCAACCCUCGAACCCCUCCGGGGGGUCGGCGUUGGGGAUCGGCCCUGCCUUGGCGGUGGCCGUCUCCGAAAUACAGUGGCGGUCUCGCCGCAGCCUCUCCUGCGCAGUAGUUUGCACACUCGCAUCGGGAGCGCGGCGCGUCCACAGCCGUUAAACACCCAACUUCUGAAAUGUUGACCUCGGAUCAGGUAGGAAUACCCGCUGAACUUAAGCAUAUCA